UACAGAGGUCUCAAGCGUUGUUCGGAUUCAUUGGGCGUAAAGGGUGCGUAGGCGGCGCGGUAAGUCGGGUGUGAAAUCUUGGAGCUUAACUCCGAAACUGCAUUCGAUACUGCCGUGCUUGAGGACUGGAGAUGGAGACUGGAAUUUACGGUGUAGCGGUGAAAUGCGUAGAUAUCGUAAGGAAGACCAGUGGCGAAGGCGGGUCUCUGGACAGUUCCUGACGCUGAGGCACGAAGGCCAGGGGAGCAAACGGG
rnacentral:rRNA from 1 species